rnacentral:rRNA from 1 species
AUGAUGGCACAAAGUACCAAAAAGAAAUGGCUUGCCUUCCACCAAAACACACUUGAUAAGGAUCACAAGAAGAGUGAAGAAAAUAUAAUAGCUCCCCCACGAGUUGUGCAUUAUAUAGGAUUUGUAUUUGAAUACAAAAUGCACAAGGUGGGAUCACUGCUUUCACUAUAUCCAGAAAACACUAGACAAGAACUAGAAAUAAACAAGAUCCACAAGUGGUAUGGAAGACAACGGGAGUUGACACAAUCCUUGGCAAGAGAAAAGGCAAGUAAAACAAAAGCCAAUGUAAAUAUGAUCAAUAAAUUCUACCACACAUAA